CCUACGGGAGGCAGCAGUGAGGAAUAUUGGUCAAUGGGCGCGAGCCUGAACCAGCCACGUCGCGUGAAGGAUGACUGCCCUACGGGUUGUAAACUUCUUUUAUCAGGGACGAAGCAAAUGGCGGUACCUGAUGAAUAAGCCACGGCUAACUCCGUGCCAGCAGCCGCGGUAAUACGUAGGUGGCAAGCGUUAUCCGGAUUUACUGGGGGUAAAGGGCGUGUAGGCGGGAGUGCAAGUCAGAUGUGAAAACUACGGGCUCAACCCAUAGCCUGCAUUUGAAACUGUACUUCUUGAGUGCGGGAGAGGCAAUCGGAAUUCCGUGUGUAGCGGUGAAAUGCGUAGAUAUACGGAGGAACACCAGUGGCGAAGGCGGAUUGCUGGACAGUAACUGACGCUGAGGCGCGAAAGCGUGGGGAGCAAACAGGAUUAGAUACCCGAGUAGUC
rnacentral:rRNA from 1 species